UACAGAGGUCCCAAGCGUUGUUCGGAUUCACUGGGCGUAAAGGGUGCGUAGGCGGUUGGGUAAGUCUGAUGUGAAAUCUCACAGCUUAACUGUGAAACUGCAUUGGAUACUAUCCGGCUAGAGGGAUGGAGGGGAGACUGGAAUACUUGGUGUAGCAGUGAAAUGCGUAGAUAUCAAGCGGAACACCAGUGGCGAAGGCGGCAGUCUCGGGGACUUCGUACGCUGAGGCACGAAGCCGGGAGGGACGAAACGGG
rnacentral:rRNA from 1 species